AAUUCUAGUAAAAAUACUCCUUUUAAAAAAAUUAAUGAAGAUUCUCUUCCGGUGAUCAUAAAUAUUGAAUUGAAUUCAUGAGUGGUGUGUUUUUGUGACAUGGCUUUAUUAUUUACAAAGUUUGAGUUAGGCAUUCAAAAGUAUGUAUACAGAACAGGGGAGAUUAUUCUAUGGACGUACAGCUUUCUUAUAAUGCGUUAACACUGUUAUCAGGCAACCGUAUGAAAAAAUAAGUUGUAUAUCCAUGGAGAUAACUUCAACUUUUGCACCAUGGGUGAAAUAGAGGAGUUUUAUAAUGAGUUCAUUGUUUUGUUGCUCAAUUGCCCAUUGACUCCAGGGAACAAAACACGAGUAAAACCUGUUCCCUUGCUCUAUCAAUGUGCUACUUGACAUGACCUGAAGUAAUCUGAUUUGAUCUGACCUGAUACCUGACCUGACAUUUGACCCAUAAGUAUCAAUAGCUUUUCCCGAGUAUGCCUGGAGCAAAUGUGAAGUAUGUGCAUUCAUUACUUAAGUUGUUAUGGGUGGUGGGGUAGCCUAGUGGUUAAAGUGCUUGCUCUUCAUGCCGAAGACCCAGGUUCGAUUCCCCGCAUAGGUACAAUGUGUGAAGCCCAUUUAUUGCGUCCACUGCUGUGAUAUUGCUGGAAUAUUUCUAAAAGAGGCGUAAAACUAAACUCACUCACUAAGUCGUAAUGUUUUUAUCAGGAGACAAUAUUGAGGCUGGAUGUUUGGUACUGAAAUGGGAUGGAAUGAAAGUAAAACAAGUUUAUUACAUAUUUGUAUGUAAACAACUAAAAUUAAUUGUUAUGGUUAAUUAUUAUGCAUAUUUUAUGCAAAAAGCUUACCUGGAGCAGCUUUUGUUGGGUGUAUUUUAUUUUUUUAAUGUAAUGAAAACCAUCUUAGUUUGAGGCCAGUGAUAUUAAAUGUUAUGUUUUGGUGCAUUGUAUUUUGGAUGAUGCUUCAGUAUCAAAUCUAGAUGUUGUCUUGUGUUCAUGUUUUAUCUAAUUUAAUUCAGUUUUAAAUAUACCUUUGGCCUAAUGUUUUAUAGCUUUGUUUGUGAUGGUUUAUGGACCCAAGACCACUUACAUGGAUAGGCUCUGGCAAAAGGGGCAGUGGGGUAGCCUAGUGGUUGAAGCAUUUUCUCUUCGCGCUGAAGACCCGGGUUUGAUUCCCAACAUGGGUACAAAUGUGUGAAGCCCAUUUCUGGUGUCCGCUGGCAUGAUAUUUCUGGAAUAUUGCUAAAAGCAGCAUUAAACCAUACUCACUUAGCACUAUACAAAAGUAUCUUUUGUAUGGUACUAAGACAUAGGGUACAGUGAUAGUAUAUAUUGCUAAAAGCGGCGUAAAACUAACUAACUAACUCACUCAACUUCUCUUGCAACACUUGGCAUUGGUAUCUAGUUGUCGAAUGAAUGGUCAGAAUGACUGUGUGACUACAGAUGGUUUUGGGGCAUCCAGUGGUCUGAGAGCUUGCAGUAUCUAUAUCCACAAUUGCAGCUGUUACAUAUGUCAAUGUUUGAAUGUGAAAUUCACCCUGCUUGUAACCCUUGCUCUCACAAUGAAGUGCAUAUAUGACUGACAUUGCUCACUUGGCUCAGGCGCUGCAGGUCUCUUUACAGAGUUAUGUCCCUUUGGUACGCAAAAAAACUUUCAACAUAGAUUCCAAUCCCAGUUAGACCCAGUCAUGCUUCUAGGUAUGUCAGCAUCAUUCCUGUUUGUGGGUUUCACAAAAUCUGCCACCGUGAUAUGUCUAAGACCUAACUGGAUCAGGCUUUUCUUGUCAAGCCAAGACCCGGCUUGAUUCCCCACAUGGAUGCAAUGUGCCAAGUCCAUUUCUGGUGUCCCGUCACGAUAUUGCUGUAAUAUUGCUAAAAGUGAGGCAAAUUCUUACUCACUGUAUGCAAUCUCUUCAGAGCCCUUUACAAAGUUCAAACGUAAAUCUUAGUCCAUUUUAGUUUGUGUACAUUACAUCUCCGAAGACACUGUGAUAGGAGUAUAUAACUUCCUUCUAUCUCUUAAAUCUUUGAAGGGCAUCUAGAAGUGGAAUGCAGAAGAAAAGAAGAUUUAUGGAUGUCAAUUUCUUUAUUGUAGAAUAGACGCGUUUCUGAGUGUAUGCUUUAUCCGGCCAUCAGGUGAAUGGUGACGAGCAGCAUACACUCAAACGCCGUGGUUAUUCAUAAUAAAGAAGUUGACAUCCAUAAAUCUUUCUUUUCUUAUACUGUCUCUUACUAUUGGGUUUUAGCAACAUCUAAACCAAAUCUACUGCUUGGUCUCCAGCAAUAAUUCAACUUGCUCAUAGUGUUCAUACAAUUUUAAGUGCCCCUCUACUUUCUCUUUAUCUAAUGUGGCGAAUACAGUAUGUGUAUACCUCAUUGUUUGAACUGAUAUGUGUUAUUUCUUCAGGUGCAUAAGUGUUAAUGUACAUAAAACAGUCAAUAUGUUUGUUUUGAUCGAAAACUCCUUCAUGCCCACAAGAUCUUUUGCAUUUUAAGGCACUUCAGGGUGUAAUUAUAGGCUUUGCAUAACUUCAGUAUUUGUGUAUAUGUAUUCACAAAAUAUAAUAAUGCACAUGUUGUU